GACGAACGCUGGCGGCGUGCUUAACACAUGCAAGUCGAGCGAGAACCGGUGGAGGGGUAACCCUCUACCGGGGACAGCGGCGAACGGGUGCGUAACACGUGGGCAACCUGCCCCAGACUCAGGGAUAACCCCGGGAAACCGGAGCUAAUACCGGAUACCCUCGCGGAGCCACAUGGCCCUGCGAGGAAAGGUCCGCCGGUCUGGGAUGGGCCCGCGGCCUAUCAGCUUGUUGGUGGGGUAACGGCCCACCAAGGCGA
rnacentral:rRNA from 1 species